rnacentral:rRNA from 1 species
UAACCUGCCCAAGAGAUCGGGAUAACACCUGGAAACAGAUGCUAAUACCGGAUAACAACAGAUGAUGCCUAUCAACUGUUUAAAAGAUGGUUCUGCUAUCACUCUUGGAUGGACCUGCGGUGCAUUAGCUAGUUGGUAGGGUAACGGCCUACCAAGGCGAUGAUGCAUAGCCGAGUUGAGAGACUGAUCGGCCACAUUGGGACUGAGACACGGCCCAAAUUCCUACGGGAGGCAGCAGGC